rnacentral:misc_RNA from 1 species
UUGGGGUUGACAAUCUUCACAACAAUGAUAGAUAUCACACCACAGACAAUGAGAAAAAGAAAUAGCAUUAUGCAUUUAUCUGUUGCCACCUGUCUCCCAAUCUCCUUCACCAGCUGCGAGGCCUUCUUAAUUGAGAACUGAAUUGUAUCCAGUUCAUUCAUGAUUCGACCCAUUUGUUCAGUUUGGCCCUUUAAGGUAACAGCAGUUUGAGUUCCCACUUCAAUUGUUUGUUCAACAACCUUUUUAGAGCGUUCAAUGACUUGAUCAGUUUCAUCCAUUGUCUUCACACCCGCACCAAUGAGUUCUUGAUUUGACAUUGCUGAUGCCAUUUGAACAUUUUCUUCAGCUAUAGGUUCACUGCCCCCAGCUCCCAUGUCAAAAAGUUCAACUCUUUUGUUACCAAGGCUAUUCAAAAAAGUUUUCCUCAGUGCCACAUAGGAAU